AAUUCAGCUGUGAAAGAAAUCGUUUUUUUUUUUUGUAAUCUCAAUUUGCAUCUCUAAUAUGUGUAAUGAAUUACCUACUCCUAAACAUGAAUUAUCGCCGCUCCUUUUUAUGAAAGUGUAAGAAGUAAGUUUCCACUAUUAGGACAUGAUGAUGAUACCAAAGAGUUCACUGAAGCGAUGCUAUCGACAACGGAUUUCAUCUGAAAUUCAAUUGAAUAUUGCAAAAAACCAAGUCCCAAGCAACGUGCACAUAUGCGCGACAAUUUUUUGUUGUGUUUAUUCUGGUGAGCCGGUACUCGAUGCACUGCGGUUGGGUUUUUGUUUCGAUUUGAGUCUGGCUGCACUUAUUUUUGGCCGAGAGUUCCCCUUCUCCCCAAUGAUAGUGUGGUUUGAGUGCUCUGUCGAUGAGAUAGAUGGAAAUUAGGAACUGGUGUGAUCUUAUAUUGUUUUCAAGUGAAGUGCAAUUAUUUUAUUAUUUCCAUCAAAUCCUUUUUCAAUAAUUCCAAAAAAUCCAACCAGGAUAAUAGUGUUCAUAGAAAAAUUAACUCGGUGGCUCUCAGUACUGUUACAUUGGUGCCAAAGGGAAAUUGUACGACAUGGUAACACAUAAACUAUAGCAACCGCAAGAAAAACAGGUUUACAAAGCACUUUUAAAUUAAUACGCCGGAAGUCAGUCGCCUCCUAGCCAUACAUUACGAUGCACUUCGAGAAACUACAUGCUGACGCCUAUUUUAGGGCACGGAAUCCUAGUUCUGCAUGAAGGUGAUGGUGGAUUAAAGGUUUUGUAAGGAGAUAUAUGAAAUCUGAAACAGUGGAUAAAACGUAAAGGAACCGGUUAUUGCUACCUUACAAAGGGUGUGCUUCGAAUAGAUUCAUAAAAAAGCAAUGCUUCGUCUCUCAUUUUCGAGGAAUGAUUUGGACCGGACUCUGUUCAGGAUUGUCUUUGGGAUCAUUCUAAGUCUUGCAUAAUAUCAGCAAUGAUAAUCGUUUUGUUAUUCAUUCAUAAGAUAUUUAUAAGCGUAAAAACAUAAUUUUUUUACGACUAUUAUCCAACCUGCACGACAACGAAAAUGUCCUCAAAUACGCCGAUGAUCCAGUCCAGAGAUAUCGUGUACACCGCAACACGUCUUUUUUUAGUGGAGCUCCCGGAGAUCUCUUUCAAAAUAAUUUUAUUUACUACCUACCUAUUUAACAAGGUUUUGAUUUUAUGGAUUUUUUUUAUCAAAAAUGCAGGUUAAUAUCGGGAUUCCCUGAACUGACACUAAUUCGAUGUAAAAUGACUAUCAGACAUGUUAAUUCAACGAACGAAUCCGCCUGGAAAAUAAAACACGCAGAUUAGAACCAUUGAUUGGAUUGUUUGUCGAUGAACGUACAAUGACAGCGACAUAACCAAUAUGCAUUUCAUCAAAUUUCUUUAAAAUCACUCUUUGGUGAUAAAUUAUAAAAAAAAAUAUUAGAAAAAAACCCGACGAUUUGCAGAAUUAGUGGUUCAUUUUUAAUAAAUUCGACUCCAAUAGAUAGCUUCAACAAAUAAAUGGAUGCACCAGGAUUAUUCCGAAGAAACAUAACCGCCUUUAUGUGGUACUGACCA